CUUUGUAUUUUAAUAUAUACGUAUAAAGUUAGCAUUAUCUGCUUGAUUUGAAUUAUAUUUAGAUGAUUUUUGUCUGAUGAGAUGAUGAUGCACUUGUUGUUUUGCUCCAAUUCCAGCCACGUUCUUAUCAUUAUGUAUAAUAUAAAAUACCCAAGGUUUUGGUUAGGUCAACAUGUUCAAAACAAUGUUGUUUUAAGUGAUGUUCGUUUGGUUGCCGCAGGUCCGGCGUCUCCGUCUGCGGCAAUGAUUUUCGCAGCAAACUUGUUCGUUUUAUUGACGUCGGUACGUGCGUCUGCGUCUGCGUCUAAACGCCAGAACCUGCGUCAGACGCCCAAAAAUCCCGCGGCUGCGACUAAUAACCAGCGUCUAUUUAACCUAUUUACUAUUUUACCUUUAACCUAAUUCGCUAAUUACAAAAAUACCUAAGCUAUUUUUGACGCAGACGCCUUAUCUUCUCCAUUGACGCCACUGCCUUUUCUUCUCCAUCUCUCUCGAAUCUCGCAGACGGGCUUGGACAGAUGAUCUUGAAACAUUGGGAUGGGGCCCCCACUUUGUGGGGCCCCCAAUUUACAAAAAGGCCCCUAAAAUUUCAGGACCGGCUCUGGAAUCUCGAUCUCAGACCCAUCUCUCUCUCUCUCGAACCAGCUCUCUCUCUCUCUCUCGAACCAGCUCUCUCUCUCUCUCUCUCUCUCGUUCUCUCAGACUUCUCCAUAGCUUUCUGUGUGUGUGUCUCAAGCUCUCCUAAGCUUUGUCUGUCUUUCACUGUCUUGUAAGGUCAACAACACAGAUGCUGAUGCGAAGAUUCGAGUCAAUCUCCGUGAGUGUUUGAUCGUCUCUCGUAGAGGCGCAAGUUGUUGAGACGAAAGCUGAGGCGAAGAAGAAGAAACCUGUAGAGAGGAAGAAGUCAACAUCUGAUGAACCCAAGGCAAAGAGAUUCAGGAAGGCCAAGGAUGAGAAGAAGAGCCCUGCCUCUAACAACAAGCCCAAGCGUCCUCUUACUGCUUUCUUCAUUUUCAUGAAUGAUUUCCGCAAAACUUUCAAAGAAGAGAAUCCUUCUUCUAACGUUAAGGAUGUAAGUUGAUAUGAUGACUUAUUUAGGAAGAGGAUGAGGAGAAGCAGUCAGAUGAUGAUGCCGAUGAAAAACAAUCUGACGAGGCUGAUGGGUCUAAGCAGUCGACGUUUACCGUAUUAAAUCAUGUUUUAGUUAAUGAUUUGAUUUUUUUUUUAAGACUUGUUGUAAUAUUUUUUUUAUCAACCAACUUAAUUUCAUGUUUCUUUUAUCUGUAAAACAUAUUUGUCUUAUUUGU